rnacentral:lncRNA from 1 species
AGCAGCGGCAGCGGUAGCAGCGGCAGCGGCAGCUUGGUCCUCUGACUCUCUUCGGUGACGGGUAUUCUUGGGUGGAUAAUACGGAUUACGUUGUUAUUGCUUAAGAAUACGCGUAGUCGAGGAGAGUACCAGCGGCAGGGGGGCAGCGGCCGCCCUCCCCAGCCCACCAGCUGGCCACUAAACGCCCGUGGUUGCCAAGGACGAGUCUCAAACACCAACAAACUCAAGGCACGUUCCCCCUCUCAGGUCAGCUGCGAAGGGAUGGGAGCAAGAGAGAGCCUCUCCCUCCUUCUACUUAGAGUUUUUGUUUGUUUGUUUGUUUGUUUCAAAUAUUAAUGGACGAUAAAACAACACGGAUUCGUCACCUCCUAGCGAAGAGGAAGCCACCGCCACCACACCCCUCAAGCAUGCCCGGGCACUCCUGGGGACAUUCGGACGUGGCAGGAGUUGGCAUGCCCAAGAUGGAGCUGGGAAGGAUGACCCAGAGUGGAAGGCGUGGGCUGAGGCUCCAGGUCUCAGCUCUUGCCAGCGUCGGACUACACAGCUUUACCAGCUUUGCACCUUGCCUUUCCUUCUUGUGAGGCAUCUGGGACCGUCCUAUCAAGGCGCUUCAAAGGUGGAAGGACAGAGUGCUGGGGACAAGAACGUACCAGGCGCCCAGAAGAUUCCACUAGUGCGGCCAAACACUAAGACCAGGUUUCCUCCCUGCGUGGUGGUCGUUGGUUGUGCACGGGCCGCGCACGAAGACUGAAUGCCUGAGAAAUGGAAACUGCAGGAGAAAAAUCAAAUAAACUUAGAGGCCUGUGAAGCUCUCCCUGUCGUCGCUCUGGGACCGCUGUAAGCUGAGCUGCAUCUCAGAUACCUUCUCCACCUGGAGGAUGGGCCUUUCUUAGGCACGAAGUGCGUGUGCCCCACUGGGCUCUUGCCCACAAGAGCAGUCUGAACCCUG